ensembl:miRNA
GCCAGGCGUGGUGGGGUGCGCCUGUGAUCCCAACUACUCAGGAGGCUGGGGCAAGAGAAUCGCUUGAACCCGGGAGGCGAAAGUUGCAGUGAGC